UCCUUGGUAGCUCAGCUGGUAGGGCAUGAGACUCUUAAUCUCAGGAUUGUGGGUUCAAGCCCCAUAUUGGGCCAA